rnacentral:rRNA from 1 species
AAUACGUUCCCGGACCUUGCACACACCGCCCGUCAAGCCAUGGGAGCCGGGUGUACCUAAAGUCGGUAACCGCAAGGAGCUGCCUAGGGUAAAACUGGUGACUGGGGCU